rnacentral:rRNA from 1 species
CAAGUCGAACGAGAAAGUGGAGCAAUCCAUGAGUUAAAGUGGCGCACGGGUGAGUAACACGUGACUAACCUACCCUGGAGUGGGGGAUAACUGAGGGAAACCUUAGCUAAUACCGCAUAACACCUACGGGUCAAAGGAGCAAUUCGCUUCAGGAGGGGGUCGCGGCCGAUUAGUUAGUUGGCAGGGUAAUGGCCUACCAAGACGAUGAUCGGUAUCCGGCCUGAGAGGGCGCACGGACACACUGGAACUGAAACACGGUCCAGACUCCUACGGGAGGCAGCAGUGGGGAAUUUUGCGCAAUGGGGGAAACCCUGACGCAGCAACGCCGCGUGGAGGAUGAAGUCCUUCGGGACGUAAACUCCUUUCGAUCGGGACGAUUAUGACGGUACCGGAAGAAGAAGCCCCGGCUAACUUCGUGCCAGCAGCCGCGGUAAUACGAGGGGGGCGAGCGUUGUUCGGAAUUAUUGGGCGUAAAGGGUGCGUAGGCGGUUUGGUAAGUCUUAUGUGAAAUCUACAGGCUCAACUUGUAGUCUGCAUGAGAAACUGCCGGGCUUGAGUAUGGGAGAGGUGAGUGGAAUUCCUGGUGUAGCGGUGAAAUGCGUAGAUAUCAGGAGGAACACCUGUGGCGAAAGCGGCUCACUGGACCAUAACUGACGCUGAUGCACGAAAGCUAGGGGAGCAAACAGGAUUAGAUACCCUGGUAGUCCUAGCCCUAAACGAUGACUGCUUGGUGUGACGGGUACCCAAUCCCGCCGUGCCGUAGCUAACGCGUUAAGCAGUCCGCCUGGGGAGUACGGUCGCAAGGCUGAAACUCAAAGG